GCUGCUCUUUUCUCUGGACUCUUUUCUCCUCAUGACUCCAUCAUGAAACAUUUUCAUCAGAACUUCUCUCCUGUCUCAUGAAGAUUCAUCAACCUGCCUCUGAUUUUACAGCAAACCUUCUGCUGCUCUGAAAGAAGAAACUACAAACCAGUUCUGUUGAGUCUCUGUACAGGUGUGGCAUUAGUCUGGUUCUCCUGCGGUUCUGUUGGGGUUUUGUCUGUGGUUCAGAUGUUCGUCUUCAACUCUUUGGACAGUUUGAACAAACUGUGAAGCUAGAAAGUGUGUGUGAGCUGAUGUGGAUUCAGCAGCAUGGAUCAGUGUGAGGACAGAGAGGAGGGAGUCCCUCCCUCUAAAACCACUCUGUGUGGGGAAGAUGAGAGCCAGAGCAAAGG